rnacentral:rRNA from 1 species
CCCUUAGAUGUUCUGGGCCGCACGCGCGCUACACUGAUGCAUUCAACGAGUCUAAAACCUGCUCUGAUAGGGGUGGGUAAUCUUUUGAAUGUGCAUCGUGAUUGGGAUAGAUGAUUGCAAUUUUUCAUCUUCAACAAGGAAUGCCUAGUAAACGCAAGUCAUCAGCUUGCAUUGAUUACGUCCCUGCCCUUUGUACACACCGCCCGUCGCUCCUACCGAUUGAAUGAUCCGAUGAAUAUCAUGGAUUGAGGAUGCAAGUAGGUUAGCCUAUCUUCAUCUUCGAGAAGUGAAGUAAAUCUUAUCAUUUAGAGGAAGGAGAAGUCGUAACA